rnacentral:rRNA from 1 species
UACAGAGGGUGCAAGCGUUGUUCGGAAUCAUUGGGCGUAAAGCGCACGUAGGCGGCUUCGCAAGUCAGGUGUGAAAGCCCAGGGCUCAACCCUGGAAGUGCAUUUGAAACUGCGAGGCUUGAAUGUCGGAGAGGGCAGUGGAAUUCCGAGUGUAGAGGUGAAAUUCGUAGAUAUUCGGAGGAACACCAGUGGCGAAGGCGACUGCCUGGACGAACAUUGACGCUGAGGUGCGAAAGCGUGGGGAGCAAACAGG